rnacentral:rRNA from 1 species
AGUCACUGACAUUAGAUACCCCCUGUAGUCCAGGGUGUAAACGCUGCAGACUUGGUGUUGGAAGUCCUUUGGGGGCAUUCAGUGCCGGAGAGAAGUUGUUAAGUCUGCUACUUGGGGAGUACGUCCGCAAGGAUGAAACUUAAAGGAAUUGGCGGGGGAGCACCACAACGGGAGGAGCGUGCGGUUUAAUUGGAUUCAACACCGUAAAACUCACCAGGGAAGACUGUUACAUGAAAGCCGAGAUGAAGACUCUGCUAGAUUUUCAG